UACGGAGGGUGCGAGCGUUGUCCGGAAUCAUUGGGCGUAAAGGGCGCGUAGGUGGCCACUUCAAGCGUGCGGUGAAAGUCGGGGGCUCAACCCCUGAUCGGCCGUGCGAACUGGGGGGCUGGAGCACUGUAGAGGCAGGCGGAAUUCCGGGUGUAGCGGUGGAAUGCGUAGAUAUCUGGAAGAACACCGGUGGCGCAAGCGGCUUGCUGGGCUGUAACUGACGCUGAGGAACGAAAGCUAGGGGAGCGAAUGGG
rnacentral:rRNA from 1 species